AACGAACGCUGGCGGCAUGCCUAACACAUGCAAGUCGAACGAGACCUUCGGGUCUAGUGGCGCACGGGUGCGUAACGCGUGGGAACCUGCCCUUAGGUUCGGAAUAACUCCCCGAAAGGGGUGCUAAUACCGGAUAAUGUCUUCGGACCAAAGAUUUAUCGCCUUUGGAUGGGCCCGCGUUGGAUUAGAUAGUUGGUAGGGUAAAAGCCUACCAAGGCGACGAUCCAUAGCUGGUCUGAGAGGAUGAUCAGCCACACUGGGACUGAGACACGGCCCAGACUCCGACGGGAGGCAGCAGUGGGGAAUAUUGGACAAUGGGCUAAAGCCGGAUCCAGCAAUGCCGCGUGAGGGAUGAAGGCCUGAGGGUUGUAAAGCUCUUUUACCCGGGAUGAUAAUGACAGUACCGGGAGAAUAAGCUCGGGCUAACUCCGUG
rnacentral:rRNA from 1 species